UGGAUGUAUAAUAAAAAAUUAUUAUUGAAUAGAUAUGACAAACAGCUCAAGACAAACGACGUGAUACUUCUUCAAUGCAUAUAAGCAAUCACUACAUAUCCGAUUGAUGAAUGUGGAAAAAGAGUUUGAGAAUUUGGUUAAAAAGCAACUAAAAUAAAAAUAAAAAAAAAAGUUACCUAUAUCUCCUACCUAAUACCAAACGUCACAAACAGGAACAAGAUAGAGCAAGAGCAAACAAAACCAGAGAGCAAACGAGACGGCGAAGCUACAUCAGACCGUUCAAAAAAAAAAAAAAAACUAAAUAAAUAAAAUACAAUAAGAAAAAAAAUUCCAACAAAGACUAAAAAAAAUUCGAAGGAAGAGCGACGUAGAAAAGCGUAGCAUCAGGAAAAAUAAAAAAAUAACCAUGGACGAGGGUAAGAGAGAAAGAUAAAGAUAUAAAAGAAACUAAAAAAUUGUCCUAUGUACUCACAUACAUAUACACGCACAUAUAUUUAUGCUGAGAAUGUACAUAGAUUCAUGUAGUAUGUAGUAUGUAGUAUGUAGGUGCAGUGCAUGCUAUGGUGCGGAGAGCGGUGGUCAUAAUCGCGCAGACCGCGUCAUAAUCCGCGGCGAAAAACAUUUGACGACCUACGAAGCUGGGAAAAGGCAACGCAAGCUUAUGGGCAUGGUCAUACCCAAGGAACGCCCACGAAACCCGUGAUAUCCCUACCGCUAUCGUGGAUUCGUUGGAUCAGCAAAUGCUGUGGAUCAACGGUGGUAACUUUGGUGGGGAAUAACAGUCUAGUAAAUGUAUGAGUUAAAGUGAGAAAGUUAUAUAGUACGAUAGUAAAAAGAGUAACAAAGACAGCAUGUAUUGUAAGUAUAGUAGGGAGUUGGUCGUUUCAGAGUCGCGAGUUUGGUGGGGAACCCGCGAAGAGCCACGGAAUAAUCGACAUUUCAACGACCAAGACCAAGACGAUGUAUAAAUUAUAUAUAAAUGAGAUAAAUGAAGGAAGAAAAUAGUAACUAUGUGUGAUAAAGAUAAAGAUAUAUAUAUGCAUACAUAUAUCUACUGCUUACAGAGCAAAUCCCAUGGAUCUUUGGAUGUGUGUUCAAAUGUAAGAUUGUGUGUGCAGCUAUGAAACACAGAAUGAGUAAGCUCAAGAUCAGACUAGCGGUCGUGAAUUGUUUUAUUACCGAAGCCACGUCGAACGUCCGGAGAUCUUAAAGAUAUUACACACGAAAUAUAUUUACUGUUUUGUACUCUGCAUAUAAUAGGUAGUAAAUAAGCUAAUUUACAAAUUGACGAAUAAGAAAAUUUAAAAAAAAUACAUAACUUGGAAAUUAAAUAAUUAUUUGUGACGUGUUUAAAUAAUAUACUUCUCACAACUAAACACACUGAAUAGUCUCUAGAGCAGUCAGAAAAGCUAACGAUCUUGAGUUUGUCGAGACUAUAUGACGGAAUAAAAGAUAGAAAAAAGACUGUAAACAUCCAAGUUUGCUGACAUGAUGUAUACUUGCAGCUGCUUUAUGAAAUGAAUUUUCUUCGGCAUCGGUAUAGAGAUUAUGCACUCUUCUCCUAUAUAUACUACAUAUAUGUAUGUGUAUAUAUAUCUAUGUAUCAGAUAUACGAAAAAUACGAAGACACUUUUGCGUUGCAGUCUAUAAAUCACUUGCAACCAUAAACAAAGCUCUUGAUGAAAUAGAUUGCUGAGUCGUUACGCUCUUCCACGUUAACGACGCGCAAAUGACUUACGAGCUGUCCUGGUACGUACUCAUCUUCAUAACACACAAACCAGCCGCGAAUACAGUCACCAUGCUUGUGUAAUAAUAAUUCAUCCGAAGGAAAUAUAUCUAUCGAUAUAAAUACACGGAAAAAAUGAUGUUCAAAAUUUUAAUAGUUUGUAGUUUAUUUUUGACUCAAAAUUAGUAUAUUUGUGUACUAAUAUCAAACCAGGAUCAUUCUAUAUUACAAAAUGGCUACUAUUUAUAUUAAAAUUUGAUACACAUAG